GUGAGGAAUAUUGCGCAAUGGAGGCAACUCUGACGCAGCCAUGCCGCGUGCAGGAAGAAGGCGCUACGCGUUGUAAACUGCUUUUAACCGGGAAGAAACCCCAGGACGUGUCCUGGGUUGACGGUACCGGAGGAAUAAGCACCGGCUAACUUCGUGCCAGCAGCCGCGGUAAUACGAAGGGUGCAAGCGUUAUCCGGAUUCAUUGGUUUAAAGGGUGCGUAGGCGGAGCGUUAAGUCAGGGGUGAAAUCCUGCAGCUUAACUGUAGACUUGCCAUUGAUACUGGCGCUCUUGAGUGCGCUUGAAGUGGACGGAAUGUGCCGUGUAGCGGUGAAAUGCUUAGAUAUGGCACAGAACACCAAUUGCGAAGGCAGCUCACUAAGGCGAUACUGACGCUGAGGCACGAAAGCGUGGGGAUCGAACAGGAUUAGAAACCCUGGUAGUCC
rnacentral:rRNA from 1 species